rnacentral:tRNA from 1 species
AAGGAAAUAAAUAUUGAGCUUCUAACUCAAUUUAGGUAUUUUAAUUUACUAUUCCUUU